rnacentral:lncRNA from 1 species
AGGGGGCGGGGCCAGAGCGCGGGAGGCGGAGGAGACGGUUGAGCGUCUCUGCCGCGCGCGGGAUCCUUCCGCCAAACGGGCCGAACAAAUAGGCCCCCUGGCCGGAGCGUGAGUUGCAAAGUUGCUCGCGGGAGUUGGGGCUAGGGGAGGAAGUGUUGCUGUGCGCUGUGAGAAUGAGAUUGUAUCCCUCGGUGGAUCCUGCUCGCAGAGGCCAGAGGUUUACAGACCUGGCCACGUGAGAGCCCACCGAGGCAUUUUGGAGGUCCUGGAAUUUAUCCUUUAAGAUAAGUGUGGGGUGAGGUGGAGCUGGAUGAUAAUAAAGAGAAGUAGGUUGACGUAUUUUUAAUUCUGAUACGAUGGAUGUUGGGGGGAGAGAAAAACUUAUUUGGGGGCUAAGUUAAAAACAGAAAAGAAAAGCAACCCCUCACUACCACCCACACAUAUAUGCCAAAAUGUUAGCUAGUUCCUGUGAGUGGUGGGAAUAUGGGUGCUUGAAUAUCACUUUUGUGUGCGCGCGCUUCUGGAACCCCUGGGGGGUGGGGGGAACCCGUCCUCUAAAAUAAAAUGUCAUUCCUAUCUUUGGAUUAUCUUUCUUGAACUCGCAAAGUUAUGUAAUCAUCGGAACGGUUACCCUGAUUGCAGCCUGAGCCAAGUUGAACGAGAGCGUGCAGCAGAUAAAAGGAGAAUUUGCACAUUUCGCGCUUCGGGGCCCCAGGGCGGAAGAGGAAAGCGACUUUACGGAGGCAGGCUGUUCAGGCGGGUCCCGGGCUCUGCAGACUACCAGAGGAACUUAGGUGCGUCCCUCUCCGGCUCCUCAGCCUCUCCAAAUGCGUCCCUUUCCAGGGGGCCCCCAAACUGUGCCACCCCCCGGGGGCUGCGCGUCGCCUUCGGCUGGGUUUGGAAGUGCCGCCCACGCUGAGCAGACACAUCUGCUUCCUUUCCUGACCUUUCCGUUUAUCUGUUUCUUCCGGCAUUGCUUUACAAAGCCCCUUCCUUCCGCGGAGAGAUUCAUUUUGUUUCUCAAGACACGCUGGAUGCACGGAUUCCCUUUCCCGGAUGCCAUCGAGGUGACUGCCACCUGGGCAUCCAUUCACCCUCGACUGCUGAGGUUCAGGGCUCCCCUGACUCCUCAGCUGCACACUCCACUGUCCAGUCACCAACUCGCUCUCCCGUGCUAAGGCUGUGCCCACCAGAAGUCACACGAAGUCAGCCCAAGGCACUGAGCCCAGUUGAUGACUCUUGGGAUUGGUGCCCAGCGCUGCUGUGAACAUCUGCCUGUGGAGGUCACGAUGGCUCUUGCCCAACUCCAGGAGACCUUGGGCUCCUCCCGGGCAGGGUGUAUCAUUGCUAUGGCAUUUGGAGCAGGAGUAUGAAAGACCGAGAUUCACUACGUGGACAAAUAGUUAUGGAACACCUACUGUGCCAGACAUUGUUCUGGGCGGUGAAGCAGGGGUUGAGUAAGUCAGACAAGGCCUUUCUUUCAUGGAGAGUCAUUGGUAAGCCAGACAGACAAUAAACAAAGAUGCAAAUAAAAAUUUCAGCUUCUGAUAAGUGUCAGGGAAAAAAAGAAAAGAAUACUGAACUCAUUUUCUUACUGUGUGCCAAAAAUUAUCUCAUUGCAUCUUCAAGACAACCCCAGGGAGUAUGUACUAUUCCUAGCACCCCAUUUUACAGAUGAAGAAAUCAAGGCACAGAGAGGCUAAUUGCUGAAGGCCACACAGCUAGGAAAUAAGAGAGCAAGACUGGAACUCAGGACAGCCUGGAAGCACAGCCCUGUUUUGUAUUCAGUAAAUCUAUAUAGCAAAGACCCAGAGGCUGUCACAAGCCCUGACACACAUUAGACAUAGCAUCAUUGUGGAACCAGAUGGGAUGACUGGUUGAAACAUGCUUGCGCCCACAGUAAAUGUGCCAUGGUUUUCCCUAUGCAAAAUGGCAGGUGUGUUGACCUCUAUCCACAUCCUGAGGACAGGAGGACUUCAGCCUCUCUCCACCUGCUGUCCUCUCCAGGGUCCAGUUUUACCAGCACACACCUAAGUGAAUCAGCUGGCCCCAGAGUGACAGAACUCACCAGGGAGCCCAAGCAGCUGGCAGAGGAAGGAACCCGUUCCCUUCCUUUUUCUGCUGUGAUCCACAGUCUCUGCUUCCUUAGGGACCAGCAAGCAAAGCAGUUGGCCACAAAGUGUCCAACUUUGUCCUUUCCCUUCUCUGGGCCUCGAUUUGCCUGUCUUUAACAUGACAGUGGAUUAAAAGGUCCAUUUCAAACUGUCUUCUUGGAUCCACAGGGCAUUCUUAGGGGGCUGCUAAAGACAGCCUGGAGCUUACAAAAUAAGAUUAAGGGAGAGGGGUGAAGCUAACCUACUGAAAACCAACAAUAUCUCUGUAGACACUUGGUCUUGGCAGGGUAUCCCAGUGUCUAAAGGAAUGAGGCCAAUAAUAUGAAAUAAUUC